rnacentral:rRNA from 1 species
CCUACGGGAGGCAGCAGUGAGGAAUAUUGGUCAAUGGCCGUAAGGCUGAACCAGCCAAGUCGCGUGAAGGAAGAAGGACCUAUGGUUUGUAAACUUCUUUUAUAGGGGAAUAAAGGUAUCCAAGUGUGUAUAUUUGCAUGUACCCUAUGUAUCCGCAUCGGCUAACUCCGUGCCAGCAGCCGCGGUACUACGGAGGAUGCGAGAGUUAUCCGGAUUUAUUGGGUUUAACGUGUGCGUAGGUUGUUUUUUAAGUCAGAGGUGAAAGUUUGGGGCUCAACCAUAAAAUUGCCGUUGAUACUGGAAGACGUGAGUGUGUUUGAGGUAGGCGGAAUGCGUGGUGUAGCGGUGAAAUGCAUAGAUAUCACGCAGAACUCCGAUUGCGAAGGCAGCUUACUAAGCCAUAACUGACACUGAAGCACGAAAGCGUGGGGAUCAAACAGGAUUAGAUACCCGAGUAGUC